GACGAACGCUGGCGGCGUGCUUAACACAUGCAAGUCGAGCGGUAAGGCCCUUUCGGGGGUACGACGAGCGGCGAACGGGUGAGUAACACGUGGGUGACCUGCCCUCAGCUCUGGGAUAAGCCUGGGAAACCGGGUCUAAUACUGGAUAUGACUCCAUGACGCAUGUUGUGGGGUGGAAAGCCUUGUGCGGCUGAGGAUGGGCCCGCGGCCUAUCAGCUUGUUGGUGGGGUGAGGCCUACCAAGGCGACGACGGGUAGCCGGCCUGAGAGGGCGACCGGCCACACUGGGACUGAGACACGGCCCAGACUCCUACGGGGAGGCAGCAGUGGGGAAUCUUGCGCAAUGGGCGAAAGCCUGACGCAGCGACGCCGCGUGAGGGAUGACGGCCU
rnacentral:rRNA from 1 species